UACGUAGGGUGCAAGCGUUACUCGGAAUUACUGGGCGUAAAGCGUGCGCAGGCGGCUUUGCAAGACAGAUGUGAAAUCCCCGGGCUUAACCUGGGAACUGCAUUUGUGACUGCAUGGCUGGAGUGCGGCAGAGGGGGAUGGAAUUCCGCGUGUAGCAGUGAAAUUCGUAGAUAUCGGGAGGAAUACCAGUGGCGAAGGCGGCGACCUGGGCCAAUACUGACGCUGAGGUGCGAAAGCGUGGGGAGCAAACAGG
rnacentral:rRNA from 1 species